AGAGUUUGAUCCUGGCUCAGGAUGAACGCUAGCUACAGGCUUAACACAUGCAAGUCGAGGGGCAGCAUUGGAGUAGCAAUACUCAGAUGGCGACCGGCGCACGGGUGAGUAACACGUAUCCAACCUGCCGCUUACUCGGGGAUAGCCUUUCGAAAGAAAGAUUAAUACCCGAUGGUAUAAAGAGUUCGCAUGUUCUCUUUAUUAAAGAAUUUCGGUAAGCGAUGGGAUGCGUUCCAUUAGAUAGUUGGCGGGGUAACGGCCCACCAAGUCUACGAUGGAUAGGGGUUCUGAGAGGAAGGUCCCCCACAUUGGAACUGAGACACGGUCCAAACUCCUACGGGAGGCAGCAGUGAGGAAUAUUGGUCAAUGGACGAGAGUCUGAACCAGCCAAAAGUAGCGUGAAGGAUGACUGCCCUAUGGGUUGUAAACUUCUUUUAUAAGGGAAUAAAGUGAGGGACGUGUCCCUUUUUGUAUGUACCUUAUGAAUAAGGAUCGGCUAACUCCGUGCCAGCCGCCGC
rnacentral:rRNA from 1 species